CCAUGUUUGAGAUGCAAAAGUUCACAAUAACCAGUGAAAGAAUAUAAUAUGAGCUCCCCAUUGUACUAAACAAAACAAUUAUUCAGUGCAAUAUGUCAACAAACAGGUCCUUUGAAUAUUUCAUCGACAAAUAUGCGAGAAGCUGCCUCUGUAGGGUGGAAUGCGUCCCAGAAAACAUGGUCUUGUCUGUUGGAACAAAUGCUUGAAAUUGGUAGACAUGGAAUUUGGGCAUUCAACUCACCAAGUCCACAACAAGCACCUUUUACAUUACCAAAUCCUGCAAAGGGGAUACACACUUUGAAACACAUUCUGUUUUGUUCUUGAGCCUGUAUGCAGGGCAGCACCCAAUUGGACCAACACCAGCAACCUCAAAUUUCUUUGCACCAUUGUUGUAUAAUCUCUGCCAAACCAAAUUAAAGUAUAAGUUUAUCAACAUGUGUAAUUGCAGUUUUAAUGUGGAAGCCAUUGAAUCUGCAUACUGUUGAGGAGUGUUUUUCUUUUGAAGAUCCUUUGAGUCAAAGUAACCAAAGAUAUCGUUGCCACCGAUCACCACAAUGAAAAUAGACUUUGAGAGGUG